AACAGCACCACAGAGAGAGUGGCUGGGUAAAGGUGAGAGCAGCGAGCACCCCUGGGGAUGAAGGUGGCCAGGGAAGGAGGCUUGGGCUGGGCUUGAAGGAUGUAGGAUUCAGGUAAGAUGAAAGGCAGCCUGAAGCCUGAGGAGCGGUAGAAGGGUGUGGACAGAGCUGUGGAAGCACGGAGGCAAAUCCCAUCUCCAGGGCACAAUGAGAAACUCACUAAACUAGAGCAGAGGCUCCCAGAGCAGCCAAAGUUAAGCUUGGAGAGGCGGCCAGGGCCUCACAGAGAGCGUGGGAUGCCGGGCUACACCUGUCUGGAUUCCAUGGCCAUGAGGAGCCAUGAAAUACUGGCAUCGGUAGUAAAAGCAACUGGUGUUUCUACUUGUGAGGUAGCCAGGACUCUGCAACAACUUCACAUUCAGAGCUUACAAAACCCAGUGAGAGCUUACGUGCCGUGUCAGAAGAAACUGAGGCUGGGAGCAUGGAGAUAGUCCAUCCAAGCUCCAAGCUCCCCCAGCUCCAGUAAGUGUCAGAGCCUGGAUUCCAACCUGGCUGGAUCUGCUCAGCUCCCACACCCAGGUUUAAAGACACACACCCCUCGAAGACAUUCUCCCCGCUGGGACGUCACGAUCAGAGCCAAGUCCCAGGAAGCUCCGUCCAGCACCAUUGGCAAGAUGGACUUACGGCAGCGGUGUGGGAAGGGAGUCUGGAGGUAAGAAGGCCAGUUAGGAGACCAUAGCUAUCAUCUUGGCAACAGGGAAUGAGACUCUGCCUUCACUAGAUUGGGGCUGUAGGCAUGAGGAGGCCAGAGUCAAGGCUUAAAUAUGAUUCCUUGCACCACAUGCCUCUCGAAAAGAGAAGAAAAGUCAGCAGGAGCAAAUUCUUUGAGCCAGGGACUGUGAAUCUGGAGCUCAUCCCAGGGCCAGUCCUUCUUCCUCAGGGGUUCCUUCCACGAGGGAAGGCCAGGAAGCCUAACCUCAAGCCCUCUUUGACCUUCAGAGAUUGCAACAUGACAAAAGAGGAACACAAACGCAGGCAUCCCACAUCACCAGAACAAAUUAAGAUAGAAGAAAUGGCAUUGGGAUUGGUUUUAACAUAGGUGCUUGACAUUCAACAUCUCGGGGUCUCACCCCAACCCUGUUCUCUCACCAGCUGUGUAGCCACGGGCGAAGCCACUUCCUCUAUCUUGAAAGCCACACCCAGCCUUCCUCAGUCUCUCUUGCCCUCACUUCAAGAGAAUGUGGACCUAAGAACUGGGCAGAUCUGACAGUACAAACCCGGUCACAUCACCACACCCUUCCGACACCCAGGUCCUCUGCUACUUGACUCUGCGGCUACUCCCAAUGAAGAAGUGGACCCAGCCCCCACCCCCACCUUGAAUCUGGGCUGACCACGUGAUUUGCUUUGGCCAACAGGAUGUGGCAGAAGUGACGGUGUGCUGCUUCCCAGUCCAACCCUCAGCAGGGCUUGUGCGCUCUAGUGCUUGACAACUACCGGGAGAACUGCCCCAAGCAGGCCCCGCUGGAGGGUGAGGCGCUGGGGCACCCCACCCCGCACCAACUGGGAGCCGCACGAGGGUGUCCCGGAUUAGCUGGGAGCCAUUCCAGGGUGUCCCGGACCAGCUGGGAGCCACAAGAGGGUGUCCAGACAGCAUCAGCUGGGCCGCCUCCCUGCCCACCUGCAGCUGACCUCACACCAGAUGAGAUGGAUGCCCAUGACCCUGUAGCAUCUUGAGGAAUAAUGGAUGGCUGUUGAAAGCCAUCAGGGUUUGGGGUGCUCUGAUCAGCAGCAGUGGCUAACUGACACAGGUGUCAGAAGGAUUUUGGUAGCUCACACCUAUCACCACAGAGCCUUGCAAAAAUCCCGUGGGUUCAUAUGUGGCACUUCAUUCGAGGAAACUGAGGCUCUCAGAAGAAGGAGGCGAUUUGCUUUACACACAUAACUAGUAAACCAUAAAUCUGGAACUCGAGGCCAACCCAUCUGACUGCCCGUUCUGAAUUCCUUCUACCACACUUCACGGCCCAUUAGGGAUCCUUAAGCGAUCAAGGACAUUUCCUCUGGUCUUUGUUUGGCUUCCAGCACUGUCCAUGCUCAGUGAGUAGAAUGGGGAGGGCGAGGCCACGCCCACUGGUGAGGCCACGCCCACUGAUCAUGCCUCUGCAGUAUGAGGCUUAGAUACUUAGGUGUGAGUGGGAGGCACUUUGGGAAAUGUGGUCUCAAGAGGCUGUGUGGUCCGCAGGACAGUGGGGAAAGCAUCCGCCCUGUGAACAAGUCCGAGAAGCUUCGAUGACCGUGACAAAAGGAGGGGAUGAGUCAAUGACCAAGGAAUAGAAGGUUCUCCCCUCCUGAGACCCACUCCCCUGGAAGGGCUCUGGUCCAAGAGCACUCCCCGACCCCGUACCCGGCCCUGGGCCUGCUAUUUCCUUCUCUGGGACUUUGUUUCCCCAUCUGUGAGGAGUCCUCACCACGCUGGCGAUUCUGAACCGCACCAUCAUGGGGUUGAAAAUCCAUAAAGUUUCCCAGAAUUUAUGUGAGGCCAGGACCACUGCCAGGUUUGGAGGCUCCCAGUAUAUGAAGGAAUGUGCAAACAUCAAAGCAAAGUUACAAGAAUGAUGGUGACCUUUUGUGUUUACAUGGAACAAGUUAACCCUUAAAGUCCCUCAGCCCCACCCAGCACACUAUGUUUUUGAGGAUCACGAGCUAACAGACAGCAAGAGGCUAACACUGAAGCAGUUGGUGAGUGUAUCCUGAGUCUGAAGGUGGGGGACCCCUCAUACUGGUGGUUCAGUGAGGCUUGUCACUCAUACCUCUGUGAUUUAAACCCCUGUUUGGACACCUUACGUGACCGAGACCCAGCGGGGCCCAAGGCCAACGCCCCCAUGGCCUUGGACCUGUGAGCAGGGGCUUGCUCCUGUAGGCAGUGAAAUGCCUGGUUUGCAUCCGAACUGGCAGUGACUAACGCAGCAUAGCAGAUACAAUAAAACAGAUCAUGGAAAAUUUAAUGGCCCGUGGUCGGCAAUCACUGAAUUAUUUAUGCCAUCCUUGCCUCUUCCGGAUUUUCAAUUGCUCGGCCCCCAGCCCUGCAGCCCUGGCCAUGUGCACAUUGCCAAGUCGAGGGGCCUGAAAAGAGAACGGGACCCAGGCGCCAAGAGAUAGUAAAUUGAAGCCCAGAACUCUGAAAAGCCUCAGCCCAAAGUCAAGAGGCCAAAAAGCAGCCUCUUGGAGAGAACUUCCGAUUUGAGACAGAGACCGAGUAUAAAGAAUUGAAAUCCUCUCCAUGCCAAAAUCCUACUGAAGAAAAAAAGCCAUAAUAAGUACAAAAGUAAAGCCAUCAUAGGACCUAUGCAAGGGUGCUCUCAGGGGACCGGAAAUGUGGAGAAAGGUAGCAGGAAUAUGGUAUCCAACUGAUCGAGAAGCCAGAACAAGGAAACCACAAGUCGGUAUAGGCCUAAGAGCCUUUCACUGAAACCAGAGUCUCCGAGAAACUACCAAAAGCGAGGGGGCCUUGGGGGGAUUCGAACCGCUUGAAGCGUAGCUGGGCAGGUUGUCCCAGCCUCUUUUUGAGUAUACAGGACAGGCGGCCUUGGCAUUCAAGGCCUCAGCAUUUAACCCCAGGAAAAAGUCCUGAGAACAACUUUCAAAAUAAAAUGGGGGUUCUGUUGGUA